rnacentral:lncRNA from 1 species
CAAAAAUUAUGGCUGAUUGAAAUCGUUAAUAAUAAAUUCAUGCAUAUUCCAGCGGCCAACCCAGAUCACGCUAUAUUGAAGUGACACACUGAAGUGGUCCGAGACCACAAUUGUCGUCCCUUGAUUUUCGUUGUUCACGAAUAUAGUCCCUAGUGUUAACAGUGGUUACUUGCCAAUAAUUUUAUACCCUUCCAAAUUUAUUUCUCCAUGUUCAAUGCCUCAAAUUGCAAGUAGGGGGAUGAAAUUACACUGUAAAAAAAAUUGGGUCCAGAAUUUUAAAGGAAAGUAGUGAUCGGUCCAGCUGAAAAAGGUUAAAAAUUAGCACUUCGGAAGCUGUCAAAAGAUUUCAAGACACCCUAAACACAAAAUUGUCCAUAUUUUGAGUUUGAGGCGAUGAAGUUUUCUAUAAUUUUGAUAUAAUUUGUCCCAAAAGUAGUACAACACACUGUAGAAUUCAUUGAGAAAGCGCAGGUGGGAUUUUUUUAAUUUUCAUUAAUGUUCUAAAAGAAAUGCACUACGAAUUAAUUGUGUUCUCGGACCUAAGAGGUGAAGUCUGUAAAAAUAGAAUCUGUAAUUUGGCAACUUCCCUAAAUGAUUUGGUGGUGUCAAUUUGUCAAAUAGCAUGAAACUAAAGGAUUUAAACUUUUAUUUUAUAGAAUUUCUGCAAAAAUGACUAAUUUUGGCAUUUUAUGGUCAAAAUAGGCAUUUUAAGGCUUUUUCAAUAUUGAUGCAUACAUGGCAUCCUGACUUUCUAUCUGACAUGUUUUCAUGUGUCAAUAUUGUGUUUCUAGCCUUUAUCUAGUUCUUUUACUUGUUUAUGAACUCAG